UCGUAACAAGGUUUCCGUAGGUGAACCUGCGGAAGGAUCAUUCACAAGAUUAUAUUUUAUAUUACUUUGUGGAACAUUUGGUUGAAUUUACAUGUUUUAUUACAAAAAAUUAAUUAUAAUUAAAAAAAUAAUUUUAAGAAAACCUCCAACAACGGAUCUCUUGGUUCCCAGAUCGAUGAAGAGCGCAGCGAAUUGCGAAAUGUGAUGUGUAUUGCAGUGAAUCAUCAAUUCUUGAACGCACAUGGCACCCCUUUUAGGGGUAUGCUUGUAUGAGGGUGUUUAAUAUGAAAUUGCUUUGGCUUUUUUUAAAUAAAUGGUUUUUCAAAUUGUUACUAAUAGACGAAAGAAUCAGUGCAACAAGCUGUGUUGAAUCUUUCAUUAAAUCUUUUAGUUAACUACUUUAACUAUUUGCACCUCAUAUCAAGCAAGACUACCCGCUGAACUUAAGCAUAUCAAUAAGCGGAGGAAAA
rnacentral:rRNA from 1 species